rnacentral:rRNA from 1 species
GAUAGAUACCUGUAGUCAUGCUGUAAACGAUGAUGCUAGUGUCGCGACAAGUCGUGACGAAGUUACGCGAUAAGCAUUCCGCCUGGGAGUACGUCGCAAGAUUAAACUCAAAGGAAUUGACGGGACCCGCACAAGCGUGGAGCAUGUGUUUAUUCGAUGCACGCGAAGAACCUUACCACUCUUGACAUCCUUAUCGGGGAGCGAAGAGAUUUGUUCUUUCAGUUAGGCUGGAUAAGUGACAGAUGCUGCAUGGCUGUCGUCAGCUCGUGUCGUGAGAUGUUGGGUUAAGUCCCGCAACGAGCGCAACCCUUGCUACCAGUUGCCAUCACGUUAUGGUGGGCACUCUGGUGGGACUGCCGGUGACAAGCCGGAGGGAGGUGGGGAUGACGUCAAGUCAUCAUGGCUCUUACGAGUUGGGCUACACACGUGCUACAAUGGUAUAGACAGAGGGUAGCAAUACCGUAAGGUGGAGCCAAUCCCUAAACUAUGCCCCAGUUCAGAUUGUGGGCUGCAAUUCGCCCACAUGAAGCCGGAAUCUCUAGUAAUCGCAGAUCAGCACGCUGCGGUGAAUACGUUCCCGGGUCUUGUACACACCGCCCGUCACACCACGAAAGUCAAUGGCAACAGAAGUAUCCAGGUCGUCUGGGUCCUAAGUUGUGAUUGGUGAUUGGGGUG